rnacentral:rRNA from 1 species
CGCGUAGGUUGUUUAGUAAGUUGGCUGUGAAAGCUCCGGGCUUAACCUGGGGAUGCCAGCCAAUACUGCUAGACUAGAGACCAGGAGAGGGUAGUGGAAUUUCCGGAGUAGCGGUGAAAUGCGUAGAUAUCGGAAAGAACAUCGGUGGCGAAGGCGGCUACCUGGCCUGGACCUGACACUGAGGCGCGAAAGCGUGGGGAGCGAACA